CUGUUUACUUGGUGUUCCAUGCCUAAUGGGUUCGGAUGUGCCCUCUGGCUGAAUCACGCCUCUGACAGUCCAGCAGACGCUGCCAAGAAGCAGGGUUGGCGUUGGGCAGCAGGGUCACCACCACAGACGUGUGGCAUCUGAUACCUCCCCACCUGCUUGACCCUUCCAGCAUCUCUCCCUUCGACAGACAGAUUCCUGGCUCCCUUGUUCGGGGUUUCCUCAUGCCUUCUCAUGCUUUCUGUACUGCGUCUGCACUGAGUCUGAGAUCAGGCAAGCAUCUCAAAUUACAGAGCAGGGAUUUGGGAGAGAAGAGAAGAUACUGAAAUGGUAAUACCCAAGAAAGUCCUGCUUUUUAAAAAAAUAUAUUGGGUAGUACUCGGCGAGCAUCCAGCGGAGCAGGUAGUAGACUCCACAUCCCUUUGUCCUUAAUCUAAGAGGCUUGUUUGAGUAGGCAAUCUACAUCUUGACAUCUCCUGGGAGCAGUGGUAGUGUGCCGGACCUGGAGCCAGAAGCCUGAAUCUGCUUCCAGCUCAGCAGUGAACAGUUCCAGUGACCCUCAGCAAAUGUCUUGACCCUUUAAACUUGGCCUAUAUUGUUAAUAAAAUAAAAUGUCAUUUCCAAGGCUUCUUCUAAGCUCUAUCUUUGUGUUUAACAGGCCACUGAUAGUUACUGCCUGGCAGUAAGUCCUCAGCCCCCUUCAGAGCAAAGGGGUCCAGGAGGCUCUUUCAAUGAAGUUGUUCUGGAAAAUGUCCUGCAUGUUGAAUGAAAUCAGCCUUGUAACCCUGCUCAGGCCAAACGCAACCAUACACUGGACCAAGGGAAGCCAGCCACCAGUCAGGUGACCCGUAGCUACUCUAUCCAAUAAAGUGGGCCCUCCUUAUUGAUGGUGACCAGACCUGAGAUUCUCCGAUGCCAAGAGGAGGAUUGAAGUUCUUAUAGAGAACAUGCUGGAGCAACCCAGGAAGACAGGGUAAUCUGAACAAGGACUGUCGUUGCUCCACUUCUUCAGGGCACCCCCACAGGCCAGUUCUGGGAGCACUGCGACCCAGCACUCAGUUUCCCAUGUGGCCUUACGGUCAACACCCAUCACCAGAGGAAGGUCAAGCCCAUCUUGCCCUGGCAACCUAGUAUCACCUAGAGGCGAUGAUUCCAUUCUAUUUUGCAGGGAGGUCAUGAUGUGUAAGAGGGUUAUGAUGGAUGAUCAGGCACACAGAAGCCCAAGGAGACCUCUGA
rnacentral:lncRNA from 1 species